GUAGGUGGCAAGCGUUGUCCGGAAUUAUUGGGCGUAAAGCGCGCGCAGGCGGUUCUUUAAGUCUGAUGUGAAAGCCCACGGCUCAACCGUGGAGGGUCAUUGGAAACUGGAGAACUUGAGUACAGAAGAGGAAAGCGGAAUUCCACGUGUAGCGGUGAAAUGCGUAGAGAUGUGGAGGAACACCAGCGGCGAAGGCGGCUUUCUGGUCUGUAACUGACGCUGAGGCGCGAAAGCGUGGGGAGCAAACAGGAUUAGAUACCCUGGUAGUCCACGCCGUAAACGAUGAGUGCUAAGUGUUAGGGGGGUUUUCCGCCCCCCUUAGUGCUGCAGCUAACGCAUGAAGCACUCCGCCUGGGAGUACGGCCGCAAGGCUG
rnacentral:rRNA from 1 species